rnacentral:tRNA from 1 species
GGAGAGUUGGCAGAGCGGCCGAAUGCGGCGGUCUCGAAAACCGUUAGCCAGCAAUGGCUCGGAGGUUCGAAUCCUCCACUCUCCG